UUAAGGCACCAGGACUACAGAUCCCAUAAAGGCGCUAGGCCAGAAAGAUAAUAGGAAAACUAGCCGGCCUUCCGAGAAGCAUCGUGGGAUAUCUGGUAACCCAAGGUUCAUGGUGCUUUACCUGGGGUUAUGUAUGCAUCAGGCAAUGGAGGAAGUUCCAGGGUACAAUCAUCUUGCAUUCCCCAUGAUGGUAUUAAAAUGCAAUAUAUGAUACAAUGGUGGGAAGGAAAAGGGAGUUUGACAUAGGACAUUUCCUCCAAAAUCAGAUUUCUUUCUCAACCCUCAGUGCAUCAGGUAAAAACAUUUUGGAAUUACUAUUGCUACAGUGGAAUCUUUUUCUCUCACCUUCAGACAAUCAGACAGUUACAUACACAUAUUAUCGUACUUUAGAGCCUUGGCAACAUUAAGAUGCCUGGAGUUAAACGUGCUGCCUGGGAAAUUCUGAGAGUUGGA